AUAAUUACACGUUCAUACAUGUAAUGUUUUAUAUUUGUGACGCUGACGGGCAAUCUAAAUGGGGAUAUAUUGCCCAUAUGAAAAAAUAUCACAAUAUUUCCUAGGAUCGCGUCAAAUUAGUUGGACUACUGUUGCUUAUUCAAAGGAGACAUGAUAUUGAACAUUUUGAAAAAUAGCACUGUGGUCAGCAUUUGUCUCACGUGAACUGUGGAGACAUUUGGAUACUGUACCUGAAAGUUCAUCACAAAGUGCUGGUGUUUUGAUAUCUACAAGAGCAGAUGGCAACAGAAUUGGAGGUUACCCAAAUCUAAAGAUGUUGAGGAGUACAAGAAACAACAAAAAAAGCUAUGAAAAACAAAUGAAAUAAAUACAACGUGAAAUUAUAUUGAAUCAUGGCCCUGGGUUCCAGACCGUUCGACAACAACGAAAAAAAGA
rnacentral:lncRNA from 1 species